rnacentral:rRNA from 3 species
GGACUACCCGGGUUUCUAAUCCCGUUCGCUCCCCUGGCUUUCGCGCCUCAGCGUCAGUAGAGGUCCAGCACGUCGCUUUCGCCACCGGCGUUCCUUCCGAUAUCAACGCAUUUCACCGCUCCACCGGAAGUUCCACAUGCCCCUACCUCCCUCCAGACCGUCAGUAUCCAAGGCAGUUUUCCGGUUAAGCCGAAAGAUUUCACCCCGGACUUGACAGUCCGCCUACGCGCCCUUUAAGCCCAGUGAUUCCGAACAACGUUUGCACGGUUCGUCUUACCGCGGCGGCUGGCAC